rnacentral:rRNA from 1 species
AGCCGCCACUGACGUUGAGGCUCGAAAGUGCGGGUAUCAAACAGGAUUAGAUACCCUGGUAGUCCGCACGGUAAACGAUGGAUACUCGCUGUUGGCGAUAGACGGUCAGCGGCCAAGCGAAAGCGUUAAGUAUCCCACCUGGGGAGUACGCCGGCAGCGGUGAAACUCAAAGGAAUUGACGGGGGCCCGCACAAGCGGAGGAACAUGUGGUUUAAUUCGAUGAUACGCGAGGAACCUUACCCGGGCUUGAACUGCAGUGGAAUUAUCCGGAAACGGAUAAGCGAGCAAUCGCCGCUGUGGAGGUGCUGCAUGGUUGUCGUCAGCUCGUACCGUGAGGUGUCGGCUUAAGUGCCAUAACGAGCGCAACCCUUGCUGCCAGUUACUAACAGGUCAUGCUGAGGACUCUGGCAGGACUGCCAUCGUAAGAUGCGAGGAAGGUGGGGAUGACGUCAAAUCAGCACGGCCCUUACGUCCGGGGCUACACACGUGUUACAAUGGGGAGUACAGAGGGCAGCUACCGGGCGACCGGAUGCGAAUCCCGAAAGCUCCUCUCAGUUCGGACUGGAGUCUGCAACCCGACUCCACGAAGCUGGAUUCGCUAGUAAUCGCGCAUCAGCCACGGCGCGGUGAAUACGUUCCCGGGCCUUGUACACACCGCCCGUCAAGCCAUGAAAGCCGNNNGUACCUGAAGUACGUAACCGCGAGGAUCGUCCUAGGGUAAAACCGGUAAUUGGGGAUAAGUCGUAACAAGGUAACCA